CCGGUGACCUCCUGCCAGCGGGCAUUCGACACUUCACGUGGCCUCAAGGUGCACAUGGCCUGGCACAAGCGUCGUGGUGACGUCACCUCCACUUAGUGGUGAAUGGCGGUUGUUGUUGUAGGGUGGGUGGAUGACCCGGGCUGGUGGUAGUGCCGGUGUUGGCAUUCAUGGUUGCGGUGACAAUGAUGGUUGUGGUGCUUAUUGUGUAUAUAGAUCCCGGGGGCUCGUGGUGGUUGUUGUGGUGUGCAGAGAGAGAACCCUGGCUGGUUGUGGUCGUGUUGGUGACGAUGACGGUGGAUACGGUCAGUGGUGGUGUGUCGAGACAGAACCCGAGCUAGUAGUGGUGGUUGUGUAGAGAGGUGGUUGUCUAGACAGGUGGUUGUGUAGAGAGGUGGUUGUCUAGAGAGGUGGUUGUCUAGAGAGGUGGUUGUCUAGAGAGGUGGUUGUCUAGAGGGGUGGUUGUCUAGAGGGGUGGUUGUCUAGAGGGGUGGUUGUCUAGAGGGGUGGUUGUCUAGAGGGGUGGUUGUCUAGAGGGGUGGUUGUCUAGAGGGGUGGUUGUCUAGAGGGGUGGUUGUCUAGAGGGGUGGUUGUCUAGAGGGGUGGUUGUCUAGAGGGGUGGUUGUCUAGAGGGGUGGUUGUCUAGAGGGGUGGUUGUCUAGAGGGGUGGUUGUCUAGAGGGGUGGUUGUCUAGAGGGGUGGUUGUCUAGAGGGGUGGUUGUCUAGAGGGGUGGUUGUCUAGAGGGGUGGUUGUCUAGAGGGGUGGUUGUCUAGAGGGGUGGUUGUCUAGAGGGGUGGUUGUCUAGAGGGGUGGUUGUCUGGAGGGGUGGUUGUCUGGAGAGGUGGUUGUCUGGAGAGGUGGUUGUCUAGAGAGGUGGUUGUCUAGAGAGGUGGUUGUCUAGAGAGGUGGUUGUCUAGAGAGGUGGUUGUGGUUGUCUAGAGAGGUGGUUGUGUAGAGAGGUGGUUGUCUAGAGAGAUGGUGGUGGUUGUCUAGAGAGGUGGUUGUGUAGAGAGGUGGUUGUGGUUGUCUAGAGAGGUGGUUGUCUAGAGAGGUGGUUGUGUAGAGAGGUCGUUGUGGUUGUCUAGAGAGGUGGUUGUCUAGAGAGGUGGUUUGGUUGGAAGUCGCGUGGCCAUGAGUGCGCUCGCCUGGCAGGGUGCCACGUGCGCAGGUGCGCGCGCCUCUUAAUGGGCAAUUACCGCGAGGAGGGAAUUACAGCGGCGGCGGCGGAGCGAGACGCGCACAUAUGCACGUGCACCAGACAAAGAUCCCCCCUAUAGCUUCAACAGUCUGUUGGGGCAAGUGCUAUUAGCGAGAAACCUAUGAAGACCGGAACGGAACACGAGGAGGUCGAUUGCUAGCACCGCGCCCGGCCGCCUUUGUCUCCCCAGUGGCGAUGUUUACACAUCACACCCCAUCAGACGCUCACUCGGUUCAGACGUCCUUGGUGUUCGCCGUGAGCGAGAAACUUGCGUGGCCGGGUUGGUGUCGCAGCCGAGAUCAAUCACACAGAUGUGCUCUGCAUGCAAAACCAUUUAUUUUAUAUCUAACAAACGCAACCAAACAUCCACUUGGGUUAAUGCCAUCGCCAUCUGUCGAUAAUUAAAAAAAAUUGACUGAUUAA